rnacentral:rRNA from 1 species
CCUACGGGAGGCAGCAGUAGGGAAUCUUCCGCAAUGGGCGAAAGCCUGACGGAGCAACGCCGCGUGAGUGAUGAAGGUUUUCGGAUCGUAAAGCUCUGUUGUUAGGGAAGAACAAGUACGAGAGUAACUGCUCGUACCUUGACGGUACCUAACCAGAAAGCCACGGCUAACUACGUGCCAGCAGCCGCGGUAAU